rnacentral:tRNA from 1 species
CGGGGUAUAGCGCAGUUUGGUAGCGCGUCUGCUUUGGGAGCAGAAGGUCGCAGGUUCAAAUCCUGCUACCCCGACCA